rnacentral:rRNA from 1 species
AUUGAACGCUGGCGGCAUGCCUUACACAUGCAAGUCGAACGGUAACAGCACUUCGGUGGCUGACGAGUGGCGAACGGGUGAGUAAUACAUCGGAACGUGCCCGAGAGUGGGGGAUAACGCAGCGAAAGCUGUGCUAAUACCGCAUACGAUCUACGGAUGAAAGCAGGGGAUUCGCAAGGACCUUGCGCUCAUGGAGCGGCCGAUGGCAGAUUAGGUAGUUGGUGGGAUAAAAGCUUACCAAGCCGACGAUCUGUAGCUGGUCUGAGAGGACGACCAGCCACACUGGGACUGAGACACGGCCCAGACUCCUACGGGAGGCAGCAGUGGGGAAUUUUGGACAAUGGGCGAAAGCCUGAUCCAGCCAUGCCGCGUGCAGGAUGAAGGCCUCGGUUGUAACU